rnacentral:rRNA from 1 species
GAUGAACGCUGGCGGCGUGCCUAACACAUGCAAGUCGAGCGCGUCUGAUUUGAUGCUUGCAUUAAUGAAAGAUGAGCGGCGGACGGGUGAGUAACGCGUGGGUAACCUGCCCUAUACACAUGGAUAACAUACUGAAAAGUUUACUAAUACAUGAUAAUAUAUAUUUACGGCAUCGUAGAUAUAUCAAAGUGUUAGCGGUAUAGGAUGGACCCGCGUCUGAUUAGCUAGUUGGUGAGAUAACUGCCCACCAAGGCAACGAUCAGUAGCCGACCUGAGAGGGUGAUCGGCCACAUUGGAACUGAGACACGGUCCAAACUCCUACGGGAGGCAGCAUUGGGGAAGAUUGCACAUUGGGCGCAAGCCUGAUGCAGCAGCCCCGCGGUGAACGAAGAAGGUCUUCUUAUCGUUAAGUUCUGUUGCAUGUGAUGAUAAUGUGCUGUGCUCUGUUAGGAAGCCCCGGUGAUGUGCGUGUGGGCAGUGGUGUGAAUGCUGAGGUGGCUAGUGUUUUUCCGUAUUUUGGGUUUUAUGUGUUGUUUGGGGUGUCUUUCUGUUCGUUGGUGAGGGCUGUGGUCUGUGUGUGUUGUGUUUUGAAUUGUUGAAUUUUUUGGUGGUGUGUUGAUGUGGAUUGGUGUGUGUGUUGGUUAUGUUUGUUGUGUGUGAGUUGUGGUGGGUGGUGGUGUGUGGUGUGGUGUGGUGUGUGGGUGUUGUGGUGGGUGUGUGUAUAUGUAGUGUGUGCAUAUGUGUGACUGUGUUGUGUGUGAUUGUGGUGGUGUGUAGUGCUGCUGUGUUGUGUUGAUAGAACUGGUGUGGUGUUAGUUUGUGUGUCUGUCUGUGUGUGCUGUUGUUGUAAUGCCUGAUAUUGGGUGGUGGGUGUGUUGUAGUGUGUGCUGCUUCUGUUUAUGAUGUAGAGUGUAGGUUGCUGGGUGUUGUUGUGUGCGUGUGUGUUGUUGG